UUCACUUUUUAAUAUUUCUCAUGACAAACUACCAAUUCUCCAACAAUACAAAUGCAAAUUAAAUCGCACAAAUCUAAAAUCCUUGCACAGGCCAUGGUAAAGAAUAGUGGUGGGCGCAGGGCACACGGCAAUGCCGCGCAACCCCACUGACCCCAAACCCCCAUCUCAACUAUCAAAACUCUUAAUGAUCCUUCCGCAGGUUCACCUACGGAAA
rnacentral:misc_RNA from 1 species